GUGAAUGAUGAAGGUCUUAGGAUUGUAAAAUUCUUUCACCGGGGAAGAUAAUGACGGUACCCGGAGAAGAAGCCCCGGCUAACUUCGUGCCAGCAGCCGCGGUAAUACGAAGGGGGCUAGCGUUGCUCGGAUUUACUGGGCGUAAAGGGCGCGUAGGCGGACAGUUUAGUCAGAGGUGAAAGCCCGGGGCUCAACCCCGGAAUUGCCUUUGAUACUGGCUGUCUUGAGUUUGGGAGAGGUAUGCGGAACUCCGAGUGUAGAGGUGAAAUUCGUAGAUAUUCGGAAGAACACCAGUGGCGAAGGCGGCAUACUGGCCCAAUACUGACGCUGAGGCGCGAAAGCGUGGGGAGCAAACAGGAUUAGAUACCCUGGUAGUCCACGCCGUAAACGAUGAUUGCUAGUUGUCGGCACGCAUGCGUGUCGGUGACGCAGCUAACGCAUUAAGCAAUCCGCCU
rnacentral:rRNA from 1 species